GAUGGGACAAUAAUGCUUCCUGUAUCCUCUGAGGUAGAGGUCAUGGAUCCUUCAUUAAGCCUGCCUAAUGAGAGGACCCAGGUUCAGUUCCCAGUAUACAAGACUUGGUUUGCCAUCCUUAAUUCCAGUUCUAAGUGUCCUCUGUGCCUGAAAGAGGUGAUAUAAUUAUCUGAUUGCUUUCUUCCAUUUAGAGGAAAAAGUGACACAACACCAGGACCUUCAGAACCAAGAUUACCUGCAGUGAUUUGAUGAGACAUGCUACCAAGGCUGAGACAUAUGAACAUGGAGUAUCCUCCAGGGAAAUCCUAGGAAGAUCAUCUUCCUCCAAAUAGUGAAGAUAGGAGACAUGUCUCCUUGAUGAACAAGGUUCACCUCAAUAGUAUGAGAAUGUCUCCCAAAUGUCUAAUGAACUAGAUUAUAUACUCUAAUCCUUGACAGAAAAAAAAAAAGCUAUGGCACAUGAUAAUUAACCAGCUGUGGCAUCAGUGUUGUAGCCUUUGCUGUG
rnacentral:lncRNA from 1 species